GGGGAUGUAAUGGUUUCGACAUAUUACCAGAAAAAUAGAUAGCAAGUAGUGGAUUCUCGUUGGCCACUUUAAAAAACGGGAAAUUAAAAAUAAACGCUGAUAACGAAGAAUUAGCAUACGCUGCCUAAUUGCGGCGUCAUCUUAUUUAAAUAGCCUACUGAUUUAAAUAGGGUGUCAAAUUAAAGUAGGAAACAAAGCUAUUUUAGCUUUAGAAAUAGUGGGUAUUUUAUAAAGCUAUAUUUUUAAUUAGCCUGUUUAUCGGCGAAUUAAAAAUGAAUAAAAAAGAUAAAAUAAACUUGUAGAGGUCUAUUUGGAAAGUAUUAUGGACAGGAGUUCGACUCUCCUCAUCUCCACCA
rnacentral:tmRNA from 1 species